AGGGAAUUAGUCCAAAUAAGACAUUUGAUUUCGGCUCAAAAAACUGUGGUUCAAACCCACAAUUUCCUU
rnacentral:tRNA from 1 species